CUCCUUCAAUCUCUGCAGUUCUUUGUGAUAACGUAGCGAGGGCAUUCAUAAUAGCAUCUAAAUUAGACUCCAAACUUUCUGUCAUACUAAUGUCUUGACCUCCGGCCAUUCUAAAAGAAGGACAAAAAUGACCCUAUAAGAGGUAAUAUUGGUUUAUAGGAGGAUAAUCCACAACCUAUAAAACGCCUUAAGAAUUUCAAGAAGAGGGGUAAUCCAC
rnacentral:lncRNA from 1 species